rnacentral:rRNA from 1 species
CCUACGGGACGCAGCAGUGGUGAAUAUUGGGCAAUGUGCGCAAGCCUGACCCAGCAACGCCUCGUGAAGGAAGAAUGCUUUCGGGUUGUAAACUUCUUUUCUGAGGGACGAAGAAAGUGACGUUACCUCAGUAAUAAGCCACGGCUAACUACGUUCCAGCAGCCGCGGGAAUACGUCGGUGGCAAGCGUUAUUCGGAUUUAUUGGGGGUAAAGGGCGUGUAGGCGGGAAAGCAAGUCAGAUGUGAAAACUCAGGGCUCAACCCUGAGCCUGCAUUUGAACCUGUUUUUCUUGAGUGCUGGAGAGGCAAUCGGAAUUCCGUGUGUAGCGGUGAAAUGCGUAGAUAUACGGAGGAACACCAGUGGCGAAGGCGGAUUGCUGGACAGUAACUGACGCUGAGGCGCGAAAGCGUGGGGAGCAAACAGGAUUAGAUACCCUUGUAGUC